AUUCUCCUGAGGAGGGGGUCUUGAGAGCUGAGACACAGAAGGGAGUAGAAGGAGAAGCUGUUUGUUUGGGCCAUUUCAAGACACCUUUGGAGAUUUCUUUCACUGACAGAAAUCCUAGCAAUGCUGGUUCCUCUUGAAACAUUGGUUCCUGUUAACAAACCUACUUUCUCCGAAGACUUUCAUUCCAUGAACUAUUGAGAUACUGGACUCAAUUCGUAAUAAUGAAUAUUCGCCAGACAAGUAUUUCAUACAUCAUAAUCACAAAUCACAAGAAAAAGGACCUUUAAAUUCCCAAGCUGACAUUUACUCAUACCUUUAUUUGGGAUUUGAUCAUAAAGUAAUCAUUCUUCCCAGAUGAGGAGAGUCUUAUGGGAAUGAAUGCAUGCUCUAGGAUGUGUCCAGAUACUUCUAAGGCAAGAAAUUUAUGAUGUCUCAGGUGGCUUUGAAGUUACAAGUUUGACUGGCUUUUUACCAUAUUUGGAAGAAGGAUGAUGUCUCAGUCCCAGGAUAAGAAGACUAUCUUGAAGAAUGAAGGUUUUCAGAACAAGAUGAAAACUUUAGCUACCCCACCUACUGAGAAGAAACCUUCAGCUGACUGACCACCACUUGCUGAGGGGAGUUGGUGUACUUUGACUCUGUAGGCUAUAUAUAUUUGUCAUUUCCUUAUCUCUACAUCUUUGGUUAGCAUGGGAUGGUUCUGGACUCUGCUAUUUUAUAAUUUAAAAGGCCUAUUAUAAAAUGUCAAUUUAGCCUUCCUUAUUGCUUCUCAGUAUUUAUUUAAUUUCAAUAUUUCAUGCCUUUUA
rnacentral:lncRNA from 1 species